CCCAAACUGUUUUUAUUUUAUUAGAAGUUAUCAGAGUGGUCUCCCUUAGUUCUUUACUACAGGGCAGGGUCUGUUAGUAUGUGAGUGUGAUAAUAAUAAAAAUAUAUUAUUUAUACCCUACCCAUCUGGCUGGGCUUCCCCAGCCACUCUGGGCAGCUUCCAACAAAAUAUUAAAAUACAGUAAUCCAUCAAACAUUAAAAGCUUCCCUAAACAGGGCUGCCUUCAGAUGUCUUCUAAAAGUCUGGUAGUUGUUGUUCUCUUUGACAUCUGGUGGGAGGGCAUUCCACGGGGCGGGUGCCACUACCGAGAAGGCCCUCUGCCUGGUUCCCUGUAACUUGGCUUCUCGCAGUGAGGGAACUGCCAGAAGGCCCUCAGUGCUGGACCUCAGUGUCCGGGUAGAACGAUGGGGGUGGAGACGCUCCUUCAGAUAUGCAAGUCUUAUCAAACGGCAAAGCUCUGCAAAUAUUCUCCUCAGUCCUAAUUCAUGUACACCUGAAAGGUACUGUCAGGGAACUGACAUCAGAGCGGGAGGCGAAGGGGAGGCUCCUAGAUGAUGCUGGAGAGGGACCCAGCAGGGGGAGAAGCAGCUCAGUGGAGGGGGAAGCAUUUAAGCGCAACACCAGGAACAAAAGUGAGCUGAUGGGGAAAUCGGAGAGAGGGCUCACGGACUCUUCACUGGAACUCAGUGAGGAGGGGACAGGUCCUCCGCUACCUACGCCCACCCUGCGCAGAAGGCUCCCGCGCAGUGAGAGGCGGAGGAGAUUGGGUGUCAAACAACUCUUAUGUUGGAAGAGAUUCAAGAAACGCCCACUGACGGAUUCUGCUAGUGACUGAGACAGUCAUGAUGAGAAAGGGCUGUGCAGUCAGAAAAGUUUAACAAGGCAAAUUAGCCUAGAGAGGCACCAGUUUACGCACGAGUAACUCAUAAUCAUCACAGGUACAUUGGGUGAAAUCUCAAAAGCCUGUGGCAGUGAAAGGCAGG